rnacentral:tRNA from 1 species
GCCUGGCUGGUUCAGUCGGUUAGAGCAUGUGACUCUUGAUCUCGGGGUCAUGAGUUCAAGCCCCAUGUUGGGCA